rnacentral:lncRNA from 1 species
UGAAUAACAGACAAUAUUAUAUUAUGUUUGAUGCUUAAUUAGUUUUACAGAUAAAUACAAGGAAUGUGCUCUGAACCAUGUUUAUAUAUAUAUAUACCUGCAUCUCAUCCUGGUCACGACUAACUAGAAACGAGUCAGCACCAAGAUGCUCAAGGGCUUCUUGUUUCUUCUUGGGAGAGGUGCUAAUAACUGUAACCUUGACCCCCAUGGCCUUUGCAAACUUUACAGCUACAUGACCUAGCCCGCCGAGCCCAACCACGCCCACAUGCAUACCCGGUUUGUCAAGAUUAAAAAACCUCAAGGGGCUGUAAACUGUAAUCCCAGCACAUAGGAGAGGUGCGGCGGCAUCUAGAGGUAGGUUGUCUGGAAUAUGAACAAGGAAGUGCUCAUCUACGACCAUAAUGUCCGAGUAGCCCCCGUAUGUGGUGGUUCCGUCGUGGUAUUUGCUGGCAUAGGAGAGUAUCAUUUUUGGGCAAUAAUUCUCGAGAUGGCUGUUGCAACUAUCGCAAGAGCGGCAUGAUCCAACCAUGCACCCCACCCCCACUUUGUCUCCAACUUUGAUCUUCUCGACUUUGCUUCCUACCUCUGUCACUUCCCCGACAAUCUCAUGCCUGCAUUGCCAAUUUAAUUUAAUUAACCUCCAGCGGCGGAGCUGGUAAUAAUUGGUAGCGAAGGUCAAAAUUAAUAUAAAAAAGAUAUAUUAUUAAAAAGUUUAUCUAUUUAAAAUAAAAAAUAUUUUAUAUUUUAUAUUUAAAUAAUAAAUAAUAAAAAGUUUAAAAUGUUUUGUGGAGCCAGACCCUGCUUGCCUCCCCUAGUUCCGCCCUGCCUCAUAUGCAAGGCAUGGAUGAAUUGAUUCCAGUCAAAGCAGUUCCUCUAAACAUUUUCGUUGGACUGUCAAUUGCCAUCCAUCAUGUUUAUGUACAAAAAAUCAAGAGAAAUAACUAUACGGUCAUAGAUUUUUUUCUUGCUGUGUGUACAUACCCGGGAACUAGAGGGUACGUGGACAUACCCCAAUCAUUCUUGGCCAUAUGAAGGUCUGUGUGACAUAUUCCACAAAACAGCACCUUGAAUCGCACAUCCUUCUCUCCUGUAGACCUGUUGCAAGAGGUGUUUCUUGCUUAGCAUAAACCGCAAAUGAAAACGAGAGAUAUUCAUAGGUAGAAAAUCUAUCAGAUCGCCAUUCACCAACCAUAAUAUUACUAAACAUAUAUAUAAAGCUAUAAACAUGUGAUUCAAUAAACUUAUUUCACAUAUUAAAAAUAAAAGGCUGCCAUAUCUGAUGUAGCCCAUCUUGCAGCUGUGCUGCAUGCUUGUUGGUGUUUAGAAAAACAAGAAGAAAAUGGAUCUAAGUAAACAGAGCUAGACAAAGAGAGAGAAGAAGUCCCAUAAUUAAAUAAAUAAAGCAGCGACAAGAUGGAGGAGAGGGAAUAACCUCCUGGAGAAUUUGAAAGGAGAGAGGACGCCGGAUUGGUCUCUGGCUGCCCAUCCAAAAGCCUUGGUAGGAUGUUCUUCCUCGUAAGAUUUUUCUGCCAUUUCCACCCUCUUUUUUCCUUUAUUUGGUACUGCCGAGAGAGUGUGCAUGGUGCACUAAUUUAUAAUGGGCAGGGAUGACAUACUGGGUGAGCUAAGCACCUUUAGUCGCUCAUCCGUGAGCUAAUCAAUUACCUCGACAGAAAAGCCAUCUGUCCAUUAGCUAGUUAUAAAAUUGGAAACAAUCACGUUGGUUUAUUUAUGUGUUUUAAAAAUAAUUUUUUUAAUUAAUAUAUUUUAAUAUUUUUAAAUUAUUUUAAUACACUAAUAUCAAAAUUAAUUUUUAAAACAUAUAAAAAAUAUAUUAUAUUAAUAAAAUUUUAAAUAAAAAAUAUUUUAAAAAAUAAUAAUAGCCUCAACCAUAGAAGAGUUUCGAAUCUCAAGUACACGCUGUCGUUUACUGUCAACUCUAUUUCCUUGCGUUGAAUUAACAAGUGACAAGUGAAUUUCCGGCCUCCAAACCAAUGGUUGUGUGCCUCCUAAUAAAAUAAUAUAUUGGAGAAGUUUUGAACCGCACUUUAUUUAUUCUCUUUAUGGAUCAACAAGUAAUAAACAUUCAUAAAAAGAGAUGCAAGUAUGCCUGGUAGCCAGACCAGGUGAACGCAAGAAAAUAAUGGCAAAAAAAAAAACCAAUUCACCAAAAACAAUAUUAUAUGAACCGCAUUUUAUUUAUUCUCUUUAUGGAUCAACAAAUAAUAAAAUCUUGAUUCUUAAAACAAUAAAUAAAAUCAUGAACAGCAAACCAUUUUCUCUUUUUGCAUCAACAGAUAAUAAAAUCAAGAACAACAGGCAAGGUAAUUACACAAAGUCCCUCAAAAAGAAAGUCAAGCGAGCAGAGACAACAACAGGGAUGAGCAAAACACAGCCGCGGACAUCCCCAGAGAAUAGGCUGCUCCCUUGUCCAUUGUUGGUGCAGGUGCUGGCUCCAUCUCAAGAUCUUGAGCAGUAACAGUUGCAAAAUACAUGGCCACAACAAAGAAGAUGGCCAUAGCCUUGAAUGCACACACUAAUUGUGCCAUGGAGACAGAGAAAAAUAGAACUUUUGUGGUUGGUUGCCACAUGGUUUGGGUUGGUUAAGCUGCUUCAAUCCCAAGGACCUUAACUUGUAAGGAAAAUUCUAGUGUGGGACUUUGGGCAGUUUGUAACUCCGAGCUUUUCUAAAUUUUGAAAAUUUUUAUUUAUUUAUUUUAUUUUUUAUAUUUUUUCAUCAUAUAUUAAUAUUAAAAAUAAUUUUAAGAAAAUAAAAUAAUUAUUACAAGAAUCACAAACAUCCCUUUUCAUUACACUCUAAAAUACAAUGCUAAAAUUUUGAAACACAUUUUACACCUUAAAUUUCAAUAUUUCUUUCGGUUGGCCCAUGUUAAAACACGUUGAAGGUUAAAGAAAACCUUCGUGGCUAAAUCACUAUAGCCAUGUUCACAUGAUUUUAUUCACUAUAAUACUGUUCUAAGUUUUUAUUUUUACUUUUUUUUAUUUCAUCACGAUCUAUCAUUGAUUUUUAGUUUGUUUUCAAUUUUAAUAUUUAAUAUUAUGUUUUUUUAAAAAUUCUAUUUUGUAAAUUUUUUAUUUUUAUAUAUUGGGUUAUAUAUUAGUUUCAUGAAUUUAAUUUUUUUCUUAUAAUUUUUUUCAACUUGCUUUUUAUAAAUUUACUGAGAUCGCGGGUUUAAUAAGUUAACCGAGGUUGGCUUGGGUUUUUUUAGCCGCCUUUUCUAAUUAAUUAUUUUUUAUUCUUCAACAUUGAGUUAGUUGAAAAUUAGAUUUGAUUUUUUUUCUUUUUUUAAUUGAGCAUUUUUUAUGGGGCUUUAUAAAAAAAUUUGAAUUUUUUUUUUAGGGUUAUCUCGAUCUCAUAAUUUAGAUCACAAGUUUAAUAGGUUGAUCCAAGUUAACUCUAUUCAUUUUUUAUGUUUUUUUAAAAUUAAAAAUAUUUUAAAAAACUUUCACCGCUCAAAAACUCAAAUCUUCCUCUCUUUUUUUAAUUUUUUUUUUAAUUUCAUCUCUCGAUAUUAAGUUGUUUAGAAGUUUAGCUAGGUAAUUUUUUUCAAUUUGCAUUUUGUAGAGUUAUCCUGGUUUUAUAGAUAAAUUUCUUUUCUUUAAAUUUCAACCUUUAACAUUAAAUCAAUUAAAAAUAGAGCUCCAUGACUUUUUUAUUUAUUUGCCUUUUAUAAUGUUACCUGGAUCUUAUGAUCCAGGUCGCGAGUUUAACAGGCUAACCCAGGUUGACUUGGGUUGUUUCUUGUCCUUUUAAUUUUCUUAUUUCAUCAUUUUAAAUCGUGUUGAUUGGAAAUUAAGCUCAUAAGUUUGUUUCCUUGUUUUUUAUAGGAUUAUCUCAAUCUCAUGGUCCAGAUCCUGAUUUUUGCAAGUUGAUUUAAGUAGUUUUUUUGUCCUUUUUUUAAUUUAAUAUUCUUUUUUUUUAAUUUCAUUCUUCAGCUUUUGAAUGAUUAGGAAUUGACUUCCAUUGUAUAUUUUGAUUUGUUUUUUUUUAUAGGGUUGUUACAAUCUCAAGACUUGAAUUGCGAAUCUGACAAGUUAAUCCGGAUUGAUCCAAUAUAUAAUUACCUUUUAAUAUGUUACUCUAUUAAUAUUUUUUUUAAAAUACACCAUUCAAUAUGCAUUACCUUUUAAGUUUAUAAUUGAUUUUUCUUAUUAAGAAACAUGUCAAUAAUGCUUCAACAUUUGUUUUUAAGUAGUAGUGACAGUAAUAGUAGUAGUAGUAGUAGUAGUAAUAGUUGUGAAUGUAGUGGUAAUAAUAAUAAUAUUAUUAAUAAUAAUAAUACUAGUGGUAAUGAUACUAGCUAGAAGUACUAGCAACAACAAUGAUAAUAAUAAAAAAAAUUGAUCUGCAGAUAAAAGUUGAUCUCGCCUCAAAGUUCCUCCCUUUUUAAAAAAAUUAACGCUGCUUAAAAUUAAAAAUUUAGUAAAAUAAUAUAUACAUAAAAAUUAUAAACUCCAAAAUGAAAAAGAAAAAAAGCAAAGCCCAUUUAUAUUGCUAAAAUGAAUAUUAUAAAAAGAGUUGCUAAAACGAAAUAAUAAUUUAUUAAUAUCAAAGAAAAUACACAAGUUCUAAUAAAUCGAUAUACACAUGCCCCUCGUCUUAAAAAAAGAAAUACAACCACAAGCAAACCCACAUAUAAAAAAUAAAUCUUUAUUUCACUGUAUAAACAAAUUAUAUAAUAUACUAAAAAAGAGUCAAUCCUCUUCUUAAUAUUUAGCUAGACUCAAAGCACUAUGGAUUGAAGCAGUGUAAUAGCAACUUAGGCGCCCUUUACAAAGAGAGUUGCGAGGGUAGUGGGGUUGUCUUUUUAUUUGGAUGCAUUUGACAUUGAAUAGAUAGUUGGAGAGAAAAUGAUCACUUCAAGUUUGGGUGGGGCUACUCUAGGUGUCAGCCAAGCUUGCUCACCUACAUGAGGACACCUGGCGUUUAAGUUGACCUGCAUCACAUGGAGCUUGGACUGGCUUGCUCUUGCCAUGGGUGGCAGCCAAGCCCGCGCACUCACGUGAGGAUACUUGACGCUUGGGCUGCCCUGCCCUGCCCUUAUCUUGGAUCUGACCCGAGCGCCACGUGGUGCUAGGCUGGCAUGUCUUUGCCUUAGACGAGAGCCAGACUCAUACCCUCACAUGAAAACACUCGACGCUGGGGUUGCCUUGCCUUGAACAAAGCCAAACCGCUCAACUUGGGUCCAAACAUGCUCCAAGCCCAAUAAACUGGUUUUGCAUGGAAGUGUCCAAGUCCAAUUAGAAGUACUCAUGGCAACACUUGGAGUCCUGAUUUUAUUUCCCUAUCUUGGUAAACCGUUACCUAACACUAUUCCUCAUUUCAAACACUCAACGUAAUUUGUGUUAGCAUGGAAAGUUAGCACAAAAAAUUGAUUUCAAAUUAAUUAAUAGGAUUAAUUUAAGAAGAUCAAAGUUGAAAAACUAAUUUUUAAAUGAUCAUUUAUCUGUUUUGUAAUGGGAUUAAUUUAAGGAGAUCAAAGUUGAAUUAAAAACUCAUUUUUAAAUGAUCAUUUAUCUGUUUUUUAAAGACCACGUACUAUAUCUUUGUAGCACUAUUGUCAGCCUGGCAAUGAAAGGCAACAUGGUAAUUAAAAACUUCAAAUUAGUGGUCAACAUUCAACACAUAAAAAAAUAGUGAGACAGAAAGCAGUUGUUUUCCAUGUCCCACUUCCACACAAAUGAUAUGUUAAUUUAAUCAAUUUUGAAUUAUGGGAUAGUGACCUAAUUAAUUUAACAAUUCAACAUCUUAAUAUUUUUAAUUGUAAGAGUACUUUCCUCGUCCAUGUUUGACGUCCUUUAUUCUAAACUCAUCCAAGCACUGGUUGUACAACGAAAAUCAACACCAAACACAUAAAAUAUUAAGAGAGAAGUAGUUCUUUCUCCGUCAAAUAAUUAAAGGAGGAAAGUUUUUUUUUUGUGUGUUUUAGAGAGAGAAAAGAUGGAAAUAAAUUAAUUUUAUUCAAUGUGUGGGAAUGAAUAGAUCAUUGAUUAAAUUGACGCUAAGGGUUUAAGUAAUUAUGAUAAAGGAAAAUAAAUUGAUAAAUGUCCAAAGAAUAAGGUCAUGUCUGCAAAUAACAGGGUUGCUCUCUUGGUUGAAAUCUGAUACUUUUCCACUGUACUGAGUAAAAGCAUGUGCAUAUGAAAAUAAAUCUUAAACGGAUAAGUGAUAACGUUGAAGUACGGGCGCUUGAAAAGAAAAACAUCGCAGUUUUCUUAUCUUAAAUUGGGCUGGGUUAGCCGAAAUGUACUCCAUUAAUCGAUUCAUAUAAAGUGACGCUCUCCAGAUAGAGAUGUUUUUAUAUUUUUACAUGGCUAUUAGUCAUUAUAAAUUUAAUUGAUAAUAUUUUUAUUUAUUUAAUAUUUUUAAUAAUAGUAAAUUAACAAAAAUACCUUAAUAAUAAAAGAAUCAACAUAGCAGGGCAAUAGUGUUUUGGUAUUUUUUUUAUAAAUAAUUAAAUUAUACAUGCUCCCUUAAAUUCAAGAAAAGAAAAUAAUUGAGGUUAGGGGUAUUAGGAUUUUUUAGUCUAAUUUCUUUUUCUUGCAAUUGUAUGAUUGAUUGAAGGUACAAAUAUAAUUUAAUAUUUAAAUAAUAUUUUUAAUGUGAAAGAAAUGCUAGUAUAUUGGGGCUACUAUGUACUUUGGAUGGUGGCUCCCAAUGGUAAAAAAUAGACUUUGACUGUGUAAUUCUAUUCCUCAUUGUCUUCUCAUCUUUCAUCAUGUGUUGCAUGUGUUAAAAAUAAUAAUAAUAAUAAUAAUAAUAAUGUUGUCUUAACUAAAACUAGUUUUGUCAAUUUCCAUUUGUUUACGAAGGUGUCUUGAUCAAAAUUUUCCAAUAAAAGCAUGACACAUGUAUCAUUUAAUCAGCAAUUAAUUGGGUGUUAAAACAUGUAAUUAAGCAGGUCUCUCAUGCCCUCCUUUCGUAUCUGUCUUUAUUUGUUCAUAAAUAGGGAAGCAAAAAACAAAAAAAAAUCUCCAUCGAGAGAGCGACAUUAACUAGACCACGAACUUAUCUCGAGAUAUCAAAACUCAAAAAGAAAAAUUGAACGCUAAUCAAUUAAGACAGAGAAAAAUAAUUCUAACUUUUAGCUGUCGAAUUUGCUUCCUUCAAGUUUUCAGAGAUGCAAGGCAAAAGAAAGGACUAGAAUGAGAAUACCUAAUUUGAUUGUACCAGUAAGCUAUUUUUAAGAAAUUAGUUCGUAAGGACAAUCCUUGAAAUUGAAUCAAUUAAUCCCCUCUCCUUGCAGAAGAAAAAAGUAGCAGACUAUAUAAAUUAAUUCCUCGUCUCGUAUAUACUAACAAGUUAUUGGAAUAAUUUUUCUUUUCUCUAAGAAUAUAUGACAGAUCACAUUAAUGCGGGUUAGUCCAUUGUACCCUCUUUUGUUUUGGUUUAAAAAAUGGAUAUUUAAUAGUUUUAUUAUACAUCCAACAAGAAUUAUUGUAUUUUUCUCAUAAGUUAUUAUAUUUAUGUCAGGAUUUAAAUUUAUUAGGAAACCGUAGUGAAUAAGAUUAUUUGAUAUUGAUUUAUCUGUUAACUAUAUAUGAUUUAUUAAUCUCAAUUCAAUUUUGUUUUUUACUCUAGUAAUUGACCUGCAGACAAAAGUUGAUCUCGCCUCAAAGUUCCUCCCUUUUUAAAAAAAUUAACGCUGCUUAAAAUUAAAAAUUUGGUAAAAUAAUAUAUCCAUAAAAAUUAUAAACUCAGAAACGAAAAAGAAAAAAAAGCAAAGCCCAUUUAAUUUGCUAAAAUGAAUAUUAUAAAAAGAGUUGCUAAAAAAAAUAAUAAUUUAUUAAUAUCAAAGAAAAUACACAAGUUCUAAUUAAUAAAUCGAUAUACACAUGCCCCUCGUCUAAAAAAAAAUACAACCACAAGACAACCCACAUAUAAAAAAUAAAUCUUUAUUUCACUGUAUAAACAAAUAAAUAAAUUAUACAAUAUACUAAAAAGAGUCAAUGUUUUUUUUAAUAUUUACCUAGACUCAAAAUACUAUGGAUUGAAGCAGUGUAAUAGCAGCUUAGGCCCCCUUAACAAAGAGAGUUGCGAGGGCAGUGGAGUUGUCUUUUUAUUUGGAUGCAUUUGACAUUGAAUAGAUAGUUGGGGAGAAAAUGAUCACUUCAAGUUUAGGUGGGGCUACUCUAGGUGUCAGCCAAACUUGCUCACCCACAUGAGGACACCUGGCGUUUAGGUUGACCUGCACCACAUGGAGCUUGGACUGGCUUGCUCUUGCCAUGGGUGGCAACCAAGCCCGCGCACUCACGUUAGGAUACUUGACGCUUGGGCUGCCCUGCCCUUACCCUGGAUCUGACCUGAGCGCCACGUGGUGCUAGACUGGCAUGUCCUUGCCCUGACAAGAGCCAGACUCGCACCCUCACAUGAAAACACUCGACGCUGGGGUUGCCUUGCCUUGGACAAAGCCAAACCGCUCAACUUGGAUCCAAACAUGCUCCAAGCCCAAUAAACUGGUUUGGCAUGGAAGUGUCCAAGUCCAGUUAGAAGUACUAUAGCAACACUUGGAGUCCUGAUUUUAUUUCCCUAUCUUGGUAAACCGUUACCUAACACUAUUCCUCAUUUCAAACACUCAACGUAAUUUGUGUUAGCAUGGAAAGGUAGCACAAAAAAUUGAUUUCAAAUUAAUUAAUAGGAUUAAUUUAAGAUCAAAGUUGAAAAACUAAUUUUUAAAUGAUCAUUUAUCUGUUUUGUAAUGGGAUUAAUUUAAUGAGAUCAAAGUUGAAUUAAAAACUCAUUUUUAAAUGAUCAUUUAUCUGUUUUUUAAAGACCACGUACUAUAUCUUUGUAGCACUAUUGUCAGCCUGGCAAUGAAAGGCAACAUGGUAAUUAAAAACUUCAAAUUAGUGGUCAACAUUCAACACAUAAAAAAAUAGUGAGAAAGAAAGCAGUCGUUUUUCCAUGUCCCACUUCCACACAAAUGAUCUGUUAAUUUAAUCAAUUUUGAAUUAUGGGAUAGUGACCUAAUUAAUUUAACAAUUCAACAUCUUAAUAUUUUUAAUUGUAAGAGUACUUUCCUCGUCCAUGUUUGACGUCCUUUAUUCUAAACUCAUCCAAGCACUGGUUGUACAACGAAAAUCAAAACCAAACACAUAAAAUAUUAAGAGAGAAGUAGUUAUUUCUCCGUCAAAUAAUUAAAGGAGGAAAGUUUUUUUUUUUAGAGAGAGAAAAGAUGGAAAUAAUUUAAUUCUAUUCAAUGUGUGGGAAUGAAAAGAUCAUUGAUUAAAUUGACGCUAAGGGUUUAAGUAAUUAUGAUAAAGGAAAAUAAAUUGAUAAUAUGUCCAAAGAAUAAGGUCAUGUCUGCAAAUAACAGGGUUGCUCUCUUGGUUGAAAUCUGAUAGUUUUCCACUGUACUGAGUAAAAACAUGUGCAUAUAAAAAUAAAUCUUAAACGGAUAAGUGAUAACGUUGAAGUACAGGCGCUUGAAAAGAAAAACAUCGCAGUUUUCUUGUCUUAAAUUGGGCUGGGUUAGCCGAAAUGUACUCCAUUGAUCGAUUCAUAUAAAGUGACGCUCUUCUGAUAAAUAAUAAUAAAUUGAGGUGCUCAAACAAAAUAAGUAAAAGCUGAAACACUUGAACAGAAAUUUAACCAAAACAGAGGUACUAAAUAACGUCACAUCAUUGCUUCAAUUUUCAAACCAUGAUUAAAUUGUGCACCGAAAACUCCAGAUUUUUCAAACUGAUCAUGAAUCUGGCAUUACAUGCGUUUUAUUCGUACAGUGAUUACGAGGUAGAGAAUUCAAAUCUUCAUUGUGUUGCCGAUGUCGAUAACAAAUCGGUAUCUGACAUCUGUUUUCAAAAGCCGCUCCAUGGCCGUGUUCACAUAAUCCAUCGAGAUAACCUCAAUGUCUGCCGUGAUGUUGUUCUUGGCAGCAAAAUCAAUCAUCUCCUGUGUUUCCUUCAUUCCUCCUAUGCAACUCCCACCCACUAUUUUUCUUCCUGCCAACCCAAGAACAUGGAAUUCGUCGCUGUCAGCUCAAUAAAAUAAAUUUAGAACACAUGGUUGAGAUGCAAGCAUAUAUACAUACCCAUGAUCAGAGGAAACACUGGUAGCUCAAGUGGCUUUUCAGGCGCACCAACCAAGACCAGCUUUCCUUGAGUCUUCAAUAAACUAAUCAAAGGCAAGAUAGGAUGCAUGGCCGACACCGUGUCAAUGACACCAUCCAUUGUGCCCAUAGCAGCCUGAAUAACAGACAAUAUUAUAUUAUGUUUGAUGCUUAAUUAGUUUUACAGAUAAAUACAAGGAAUGUGCUCUGAACCACGUAUAUAUAUACCUGCAUCUCAUCCUGGUCACGACUAACCAAAAACGAGUCAGCGCCAAGAUGCUCAAGGGCUUCUUGUUUCUUCUUGGGAGAGGUGCUGAUAACUGUAACCUUGACCCCCAUGGCCUUUGCAAACUUUACAGCUACAUGACCUAGCCCGCCGAGCCCAACCACGCCCACAUGCAUACCCGGUUUGUCAAGAUUAAAAAACCUCAAGGGGCUGUAAACUGUAAUCCCAGCACAUAGGAGAGGUGCAGCGGCAUCUAGAGGUAGGUUGUCUGGAAUACGAACCACGAAGUGCUCAUCCGUGACCAUGCUGUCUGAGUAGCCUCCGUACGUGGUGGUUCCAUCGUGGUAUUUGGUACUGUAGGUGAGCAUCAUUUUUGGGCAAUAAUUCUCGAGAUCGCUGUUGCAACUAUCGCAAGAGUGGCAUGAUCCAACCAUGCACCCCACCCCCACUUUGUCUCCAACUUUGAACUUCUCGACUUUGCUUCCUACCUCUGUCACUUCCCCAACAAUCUCAUGCCUGCAUUGCCAAUUUAAUUUAAUUUAAUUAACCCUCAGAUGCAAUGCAUGGAUGAAUUGAUUCCAGUCAAAGUUCCUCUAAACAUUUUCCCUGGACUGCCAAUUGCCAUUCAUGAUGUUUAUGUGCAAAACAAAUGAGAAAUAACUAUAUACGGUCGUAGAUUUCUCUUCCUGUGUGUACUUACCCGGGAACUAGAGGGUACAUGGAAGUGCCCCACUCAUUCUUGGCCAUAUGGAGGUCUGAGUGACAUAUUCCACAAAACAGUACCUUGAAUCGCACAUCCUUCUCUCCUGUAGACCUGUUGCAAGAGGUGUUUCUUGCUUAGCAUAAACCGCAAAUGAAAACGAGAGAUAUUCAUAGGUAAAAAGUCUAUCAGAUCGCCAUUUUCACCAACCAUAAUAUUGCUAAACAUAUAUAUAAAGCUAUGAACAUGUGAUUCAAUAAACUUAUUUCACAUAAUAAAAUUAAAAGACUGCCAUAUCUGAUGUAGCCCAUCUUGCAGCUGUGCUGCAUGCUUGUUGGUGUUUAGAAAAACAAGAAGAAACUAGAUCUAAGUAAAACCGAGCUGGACACAGAGAGAGAAGAAGUCCCAUAAUUAAAUAAAGCAGCGACAAGAUGGAGGAGAGGGAAUAACCUCCUGGAGAAUUUGAAAGGAGAGAGGACCCCGGAUUGGUCUCUGGCUGCCCAUCCAAAAGCCUUGGUAGGAUGUUCUUCCUCGUAAGAUUUUUCUGCCAUUUCCACCCUCUUUUUUGCUUUAUUUGGUACUGCCGAGAGAGCGUGCAUGAGCACCAAUUUAUAAUGGCGGGUGGUCUGCCAUUGCUUAUUGGCAGGGAUGACAUCCUGGGUGACCUAAGCACCUUUAGUCGCUCAUCCGUGAGCUAAUCAAUUACCUUGGGAGAAAAGCCAUCUGUCCAGGAGCUAGUUAUAGUUACCUUGACUUCUCGCCAAGUCGCCGUACAACUUUCCCAUAAAGCUAUCUCAAGUAAGCUGUCGUUUACUCUCAACUCUAUUUCCUUGCGUUGAAUUAACAAGUGAAAAAAAAAAAAAAACAGGUGAAUUUCCGGCUUCCAAACCAAUGGUUGUGUGCCUCCCAAUAAAAUAAUAUAUUGGAAAAGUUAAUGUGAUUUUUAAUGCAAGAACUUUUAUGAUUUCCUUAGACGAUGCUUAAAUUUUAUUUGAAUAGAUUUUCCAAAUUAAAAAAUAAAUAAAAUAUGGAUGUCCCUCCAUUUGUGUCAACGUCUCUUGUCGUGUGAUAUGGCAUGGUGAUGUUUCAACAAUUGCUUAAGACACAUUAACUUUAAAACUCUAAAUUAAUUUUUAAAAUAGAGUAAAAUGUACCCGAGUUUAUGAAAUGUUUAAUUAUAUUAUGUUUUUUAAUUGAAAUGUAUGAAAAAAUAUGUUAUUAUUUAUAAAAUAACAGAUCAUGUGUAAAAGUCCUGUUAUUAUAAACACAUGGUAAAUGAGCCCACUUUCAAACAUAUCAAAGAUUUGGAUAUGGUUUUGAAAUUUAAUUUGAUUUGAUCUGAUUGGUCAAUUUGAGACCCAACUAACCCGAAGUUAAAACUUGAAAUUCAGAUCUUGAAGCGGAUCGAAUCUAAAAAUUAUGAGCGCAGAAAAUCAAUUCCAACCUAUUCUAGUCCAGAGAUGGGUUUUGUAAUGAUUUAAAAGUUCAGAAAUGUUUGUAGUAAUCUAGACUAGUGUGUAAGGAUAGAAAUCAAAAUUUUCUAUCCCUUAAAUUUCGUGAUAGUUAAUUUUAUUUUAUUUUUAUAAUUAAAAUAAAUAAUAUAAAAAAUAAAUAAGUUUUUUUUAUUUUUUAUUAAUAAAACAUUAAACAUUGACACAAAAUGAAAUAUUCAAAAUAUUUUUUCAUGUGACAUUAUAAAAGAACAUCAAAACCCUUUAUAAAUAAAAGGGUCUCAAUUUAAAAAAAAAAUUGAAGAUAUAAAAUUUUCUUUUAAGACAAGCAUAUCGAGUAAGGAAACUUUUUAUCUCUAUGGGAGCAAAACAUAGACGACAUCUCAUAAAAGUUUUUUAAUAACAUUUUAAAAACAGAUUAAAAAUACUCUUUAAAAUAUUAAAUCAUUAAAUUUCAUUUUAUAAUAAACGCUAAAAUUCAUAUUUUUAUAAAACAUAAAUCUUGAUUUAAUUUCACAAAUAAAUCAUAUCAUCAUAUUUUUACUUCUUUUAUUUAUCAUUACCUCUCCUUUUUUAUUCUCGUCUUCUCUUCUCAUAGUCUUUUUGUUGUUUUCAAUUUAUUAGGUUUUGAUUUCAUAUAUGGUUAGAUUUUGUACAGCUUUACUUGUUUCACAGUUAGAUUUGUGUGGCCUGGUAUGAACAUCGCUGCAUUGCUUCAUCGCCUUUAAAAUAAUUCAAUAUUUUAUUUUUCUUCUUCAACUCUCUCCUCUUCGUCGCCUUUAAAAUAAUUAAAUAGAACUGUUGACCAUUUGUAGGACAAUGAAAGGCGCUUCAAAAUAUUUUAUUUAUUUAUUUUAAAUUAAUAUAUUUUAAUAUUUUCAAAUCAUAUAUUAAUAUUAAAAAUAAUUUUUAAAAAAAUAAAAAGACAUGAAUAAUAUUUACUUUAACAUAAAAAAUAUUUAAAAAAUAACUCUAACGACGCUGUCAAAUAAACAUGAUAUCACGGUCUAUCAAAGCUUGAUAAACAAGAGAGUCCCAUCUGUGAGUGGGUCCCAAAUGAAACAUAGCCUCCAGAUCUCAAGGACAUCAAACUAGCGUGGGGGAUAGAGGGAGAAAGGUGGGCUGUGAUUUUCCAUGAUUGCUCCUUGUAGUGAUGAAAAGGAGAGGGAAGAAACUUUUUUAAUGUUGUUGACGUGGUUGUUUUUAAUCAUAAUUAAUAACUUGAUUCUAUUAUAUAAAAUUUAAUUAAAUUAGUUGCAAGGAAGUUAUUUAUUAAUAACAAAUAUGUUAAAAAAUAAAUAAGUUACAAUAGUAAUAUUUUUUAUUGGAGUGCAUAUAAGAAAAAAAUCGACCAUAUAUAUACUCUUCAAAAUACCAUUUUAAUAAUUUGGUUACUAUGAAUGGCUUUUGCCACCAUUGGAGAUGUUCCAAAAAGAUAAACAUGAUAUAGUACAUAUUAGAUAGGAAACUUUUCUUAACGUGAAAGAAAAAGAAAAGGUGAUACCGACUUUUUUUAAAAAAAGUAAGAAAAACAUUAUACCUUAAUUAUUAACUUACCAAGAUUUAAUAAACAUGAUUAAUUCAUAAGAUAAUUUUAAAAAUAAAAAUAUUGUAAAUAACAUGAAUAAGACAAAAAAGAGACAAUAAUUAAUUAUACUCUGGAAUUGAAGAAAAAGAAGCCCGUCAUCAACCCAUCAUCGCUUCAUCAUGCAACUGCUCAACUAUAUAAAAUAAAGACAGUUUAAACAUCAUUGUGAAAAGCUUUAUAUCGAUAUUAAAAAAGGCUACACAUGUGGUUAGAAUAAUGAAUUAGAAAAAAACUAAUAAAAAUAUCAUGAGAUGAAUAUCUCAUGCUUAUAUUUUAUUUAAUUUAAAAAUAAAUUUUAAAAAAAGAUAAAUUAAACAAAAAUUGAUAAAUAAAAAGAUAUGAGAUAAUUUGAGUUAUUAUUAAAAUUAGUGAAAUCUCUAUAGAAAAAAAAACAGAGUCCAAUCUUUAAUUUAAUAAAUAUUAAGGGGUUAAACUGAAAAAAUACAAGGUUCAAAAAGAAGAAGAACAAAUCAAGUAAAAUUUCUAAACCCGUGUUAAUCUUCUAAAUUUAUAAUCCCUGAAAUCCUAGCCUCAUGUUUAAUAAAAAAGCUCAAUUAUCAAAAAAAUUAAACCCUGGAGCAUGAAAUCAUUAAAAAGGGAUCAAUCUAGAAAAUAAUUCCAUAGCAAAUAAAAUAACAAGGAUAAAAUUGGAAGAAAAAAACCUUUAAAGGAUGCAAUCGUAAAAAAUUAAACUUUAAAAAAUAAUUUCAAAUAAAAAAAAUAUUAAUUAAAAGAAUAAAGACCAUAUAUAAAAAAUAAAAAAUAUUGACGGAGAUGAGAUUGAAAAAAAAAUCUAGUUUUAUAAAUUAUUUUAAAUAAAAUAAAUAAUAAUAAAAAAACAAGGAAUAAAUAUAAAAAUAUAACAAAGAGAGAAGCUGCUUUUAUUUUUUGCAUGGUAAACAUAAAAAUCAAGGUGAAAGGAAAAGUAGCAGAAAAAAAAGAAGUGUUGCGUGCACUGAAUUGGAUGUCCAUUUGAAACACGCGUCACACCUGGACGAAGAGGAUGCCAAGAAGAAUCUAAUGCCACUCUAGAAGCCACGCAUGUGUGCAAGUUAUUUUUUUUAAUAAUAUCUAUGCUAAGUCAAAUAUCAAACAACCCGUCAAAUAAUAUUAUGAUUACAAAACCCCAAUAUGAAAAAAGAUACAAAGACCAGCGGACCAAAGCUAUAAAAAAUCUAAAACGAUGAAGCCUCUAGAUUCAAGUUUAGAAAAUUUUGCUUUUAAAUUUUACUAUGCUAGAUAAAUAUAUAAAAAGGUUGCUGCCCUUGUCCAAUUCAUAAAUAACUUUACUACCAUUGGAAAAGACUAUACUACCCUCCAUGCAAGGGUUAAUAAUUCUGGCAUGAAUGAAAAAUCCCUACUUCAUUAUUGCAAUAAAUUCACUCCUGGUCCACAAUAUUUGGGGUGGGCACUUGUAGUUUUUUUUUUCCUUCUUAAUAUUGCAUUGCAAUUUUCUUAUUUUAAAUUGAGUUGGGCCAGUCGAUGACAACCACAACAACAGAAGUUGUAAAAAUUCUUGCAAGAACAUCGAUCUAUUUAUAGAAAUUAAGAGGUGCUUAAAGAGUACCAAAAACUGAAGAUGAUUCAAGCUCAUGAAUUCUCACAUUCCAUGCAUUUUAUUCAUACAAUAUUUAUGAGGGAGAAAAUUCAAAUUUUCAUUGUGUUGCCAAUAUCAAUGACAAAUCGAUACCUAACAUCAGUUUUCAAUAGCCGCUCCAUGGCAGUGUUCACAUAAUCCAUUGAAAUCAACUCGAUAUCUGCUGUUAUGUUGUUCUUAGCAGCAAAAUCAAUCAUCUCUUGUGUUUCCUGCAUUCCUCCACCAGCACUCCCACCCACCAUUUUUCUUCCUGUUAGGCCAAUAACAUGGUAGUUAUACUAAUAUUUAUCUGUUCGACUACCCAUGAGAAGAUCAAUGCGGCGAUAAAUUUAGAACACAUACUGAGAUAUAUGCAUUUAUACAUACCCACGAUCAAAGGAAACACUGGUAGCUCAAGUGGUUUCGCAGGCGCACCAACCAAGACCAGCUUUCCUUGAGUCUUCAAUAGACUAAUCAAAGGCAAGAUAGGAUGCAUGGCCGACACCGUGUCAAUUACACCAUCCAUUGUGCCCAUUGCAGACUGAAUAACAAGCAAUAUUAGAUCAUAAAACAAACAUACAGGAUAAAAGAUUUGAUUUGAUGUUUAAUUAGUUUACAAAUGCUAGGAAGGUGCUCUGAAUCAUGUUUAUAUACCUGCAUCUGAUCCUGAUCACGGCUAACCAAAAAUGAGUCGGCACCAAGAUGCUCGAGGGCUUCUUGUUUCUUGUUGGGUGAGGUGCUAAUAACUGUCACCUUGACCCCCAUAGCUUUUGCAAACUUUACAGCUACAUGACCUAGCCCGCCGAGCCCAACCACACCCACAUGCAUACCCGGUUUGUCAAGACCGUAAAAUCUCAAGGGGCUAUACACUGUAAUUCCAGCGCAUAGGAGAGGUGCGGCUGCGUCAAGAGAUAGGUUGUCUGGAAUAUGAACUACGAAGUGCUCAUCUACGACCAUAAUGUCCGAGUAGCCCCCGUAUGUGGUGGUUCCAUCUUGGUAUUUUGCACCAUAUGUGAUUAUCACUUCCGAGCAGUAAUUUUCAAGAUUGUUGCUGCAACUAUCGC